AGCAGAGUGAGAUGAUACAGGAGAGACUCCAAACCAAGAGAAGCACACAGAGGAUUCAGCAUUGAAAACCAAGCCCAGGAAGAGCUCACAGACACAGGAGACUUGCAAGGAGCGGAUCUGGCUGGGAGCAGAGGCAUUGCUUGUACUCCUGUCUCAAAGUGCUCGGUGACAGGGCACAUCAGGAAUGCCUAGACAAGCCCUAGCACAAGAAGCCCAGGGAAUCCACCCUGAAAAUACUUAAAGCUAGCCACAUCAUCCAAGAGAAGGGCUUCAGUAACGGUCUGGAAGCAUCCAUGAAGAUUAUAUUUGCCUCUUUCUUAAACAUUGCCAUCUGAGAAGUCUGCCUUGCAGCUAGAAAUCAGGAUAUUCGUGGGAGCUGAAUGGGAAAGAUAAUUUAUAUAUAUAUAUUUUUUUUUUUUCAAAAGUUGUACCACUUCAUAGGGACAAGCCUGUUGAAGAUCCACAAGCAAUCAGAUAAAGUGAAGGAUUUAGCAGAAAAUUGGAAGAACAAGACUCUUUUUGCAUCAGACGAGGGGAAGCUGAGAACCUGGGAGAAGUGAAUUGAUGCCCCUGGAAAUCUGACCAGGUACUUGAAUACAGCUUCGGAUAAUUGUCACAGCAAGAUAUAGAAAUGUCCUUUGAGGAGAAAAACACCAUAAAUACAUUUUAUUGUGAAUAGAAGACUUUAUCAAACUCUCUUGGUGAA